rnacentral:rRNA from 1 species
CAGUCGCCGCGGGAAUACGUAGGGUCCGAGCGUUGUCCGGAAUUAUUGGGCGUAAAGAGCUCGUAGGCGGUCUGUCGCGUCUGCCGUGAAAUCCUCAGGCUCAACCUGAGGCGUGCGGUGGGUACGGGCAGGCUAGAGUGCGGUAGGGGAGAAUGGAACUCCUGGUGUAGCGGUGGAAUGCGCAGAUAUCAGGAAGAACACCGAUGGCGAAGGCAGUUCUCUGGGCCGUAACUGACGCUGAGGAGCGAAAGCGUGGGGAGCGAACAGGAUUAGAUACCCCCGUAGUCCCUGUCUCUUAUAC